UGGGCAAGACUUGAAUUGAAGUUUGAUGGAAAACCUUGAUGACUUAUAAAUUCAUGGUUUAUACUUAAAUGUGUUUUUUUUGUUUUUUAAUGUGUAAAUUAAAAUGUACAUCAAUUUAGAGCAUAAUAGAAUUUUCUUCAAAUCUUAGACAAUGCAAAAUGAAUGUAAAGGAAAAAAUGUGUUAUGUUUGGAUUUCAAGUUAAAGUUUAGACAAAACAUUCUUGAAUAUGAGGAAAUGCAAUGAUUCAAAAUCAAGUGAACUA
rnacentral:lncRNA from 1 species